rnacentral:rRNA from 1 species
UACAGAGGUCUCAAGCGUUGUUCGGAUUCAUUGGGCGUAAAGGGUGCGUAGGCGGCGCGGUAAGUCGGGUGUGAAAUCUCGGAGCUUAACUCCGAAACUGCAUUCGAUACUGCCGUGCUUGAGGACUGGAGAGGAGACUGGAAUUUACGGUGUAGCGGUGAAAUGCGUAGAUAUCGGAAGGAACACCAGUGGCGAAAGCGGCGCGCUGGACCUCUUCUGACGCUGAGGCGCGAAAGCCAGGGGAGCGAACGGG